GACAGAGGGUGCAAACGUUGCUCGGAAUUACUGGGCGUAAAGGGCUCGUAGGUGGCCAACUAAGUCAGACGUGAAAUCCCUCGGCUUAACCGGGGAACUGCGUCUGAUACUGGAUGGCUUGAGUUUGGGAGAGGGAUGCGGAAUUCCAGGUGUAGCGGUGAAAUGCGUAGAUAUCUGGAGGAACACCGGUGGCGAAGGCGGCAUCCUGGACCAACACUGACACUGAGGAGCGAAAGCCAGGGGAGCAAACGGG
rnacentral:rRNA from 1 species